AUUGAACGCUGGCGGCAUGCUUUACACAUGCAAGUCGAACGGCAGCGCGGGCUUCGGCCUGGCGGCGAGUGGCGAACGGGUGAGUAAUACAUCGGAACGUGCCCAGUAGUGGGGGAUAGCUCGGCGAAAGCCGGAUUAAUACCGCAUACGACCUGAGGGUGAAAGCGGGGGAUCUUCGGACCUCGCGCUAUUGGCGCGGCCGAUGGCAGAUUAGCUAGUUGGUGGGGUAAAGGCCUACCAAGGCGACGAUCUGUAGCUGGUCUGAGAGGACGACCAGCCACACUGGAACUGAGACACGGCCCAGACUCCUACGGGAGGCAGCAGUGGGGAAUUUUGGACAAUGGGCGAAAGCCUGAUCCAGCAAUGCCGCGUGUGUGAUGAAGGCCUUCGGGUUGUAAAGCACUUUUGGCGGGAACGAAAAGGACUGUGCCAAUACCACGGUUCGAUGACGGUACCCGCAGAAUAAGCACCGGCUAACUACGUG
rnacentral:rRNA from 1 species